UAGGGAAUCUUCGGCAAUGGACGAAAGCCUGACCGAGCAACGCCGCGUGAGUGAAGAAGGUCUUCGGAUCGUAAAACUCUGUUGUUAGAGAAGAACAAGGACGUUAGUAACUGAACGUCCCCUGACGGUAUCUAACCAGAAAGCCACGGCUAACUACGUGCCAGCAGCCGCGGUAAUACGUAGGUGGCAAGCGUUGUCCGGAUUUAUUGGGCGUAAAGCGAGCGCAGGCGGUUUCUUAAGUCUGAUGUGAAAGCCCCCGGCUCAACCGGGGAGGGUCAUUGGAAACUGGGAGACUUGAGUGCAGAAGAGGGGGGUGGAAUUCCAUGUGUAGCGGUGAAAUGCGUAGAGAUAGGGAGGAACACCAGUGGCGAAGGCGGCUCUCUGGUCUGUAACUGACGCUGAGGCUCGAAAGCGUGGGGAGCAAACAGG
rnacentral:rRNA from 1 species